rnacentral:rRNA from 1 species
GACGAACGCUGGCGGCGUGCCUGAUACAUGCAAGUAGAACGCUGAAGGAGGAGCUUGCUUCUCUGGAUGAGUUGCGAACGGGUGAGUAACGCGUAGGUAACCUGCCUGGUAGCGGGGGAUAACUAUUGGAAACGAUAGCUAAUACCGCAUAAGAGUAGAUGUUGCAUGACAUUUGCUUAAAAGGUGCAAUUGCAUCACUACCAGAUGGACCUGCGUUGUAUUAGCUAGUUGGUGGGGUAACGGCUCACCAAGGCGACGAUACAUAGCCGACCUGAGAGGGUGAUCGGCCACACUGGGACUGAGACACGGCCCAGACUCCUACGGGAGGCAGCAGUAGGGAAUCUUCGGCAAUGGACGGAAGUCUGACCGAGCAACGCCGCGUGAGUGAAGAAGGUUUUCGGAUCGUAAAGCUCUGUUGUAAGAGAAGAACGAGUGUGAGAGUGGAAAGUUCACACUGUGACGGUAUCUUACCAGAAAGGGACGGCUAACUACGUG